rnacentral:ncRNA from 1 species
CCUCUGGAGAAGCCCGUUUGGGUGCCGAAGGUGUAAGCGGCCGCGCAGGCCGUGAUCUCUCAGGCAAAAGGACAGAGA